rnacentral:rRNA from 1 species
CCUACGGGAGGCAGCAGUGGGGAAUAUUGGGCAAUGGGCGCAAGCCUGACCCAGCAACGCCGCGUGAAGGAAGAAGGCUUUCGGGUUGUAAACUUCUUUUCUCAGGGACGAAGCAAGUGACGGUACCUGAGGAAUAAGCCACGGCUAACUACGUGCCAGCAGCCGCGGUAAUUCGUAGGCUGCAAGCGUUAUCCGGAUUUACUGGGGGUAAAGGGCGUGUAGGCGGGGCCGCAAGUCAGAUGUGAAAACCCCGGGCUCAACCUGUGGCCUGCAUUUGAAACUGUGUUUCUAGAGUACUGGAGAGGCAGGCGGAAUUCCUAGUGUAGCGGUGAAAUGCGUAGAUAUUAGGAGGAACACCAGUGGCGAAGGCGGUCUACUGGACAGCAACUGACGCUGAGGCGCGAAAGCGUGGGGAGCAAACAGGAUUAGAUACCCUAGUAGUC